rnacentral:rRNA from 1 species
ACCCUCAUCCUUAGUUGCCAUCACGUUUGGGUGGGCACUCUAAGGAAACUGCCGGUGGUAAGCCGGAGGAAGGUGGGGAUGACGUCAAGUCCUCAUGGCCCUUACGGGUAGGGCUACACACGUGCUACAAUGGCAGUGACAGAGAGCUAAUCUCAAAAAACUGUCUCAGUUCGGAUUGUCUUCUGCAACUCGAAGGCAUGAAGUUGGAAUCGCUAGUAAUCGCGGAUCAGCAUGCCGCGGUGAAUACGUUCCCGGGCCUUGUACACACCGCCCGUCACAUCAUGGGAAUUGGUUCUACCCGAAGACG